AUUGAACGCUGCGGCAGGCUUAACACAUGCAAGUCGAGCGAGCGGCGGACGCGUGAGUAAUGCUUAGGACUCUGCCUAUUAGUGGGGGACAACAUCUCGAAAGGGAUGCUAAUACCGCAUACUAUUAGAUGAGCCUAAGUCGGAUUAGCUAGUUGGUGGGGUAAAGGCCUACCAAGGCGACGACCUGUAGCGGGUCUGAGAGGAUGAUCCGCCAUACUGGGACUGUGAAAAGGCGCAGACUCCUACGGGAGGCAGCAGGGGGGAAGAUUGGACAAUGGGGGGAACCCUGAUCCAGCCAUGGCGGGUGGGUGGAGAAGGCCUUAUGGGUGUAAAGCACUUUAAGCGAGGAGGCGUUACUCGCAGAAUAAGCACCGGCUAACUCUGUGCCAGCAGCCGCGGUAAUAC
rnacentral:rRNA from 1 species